rnacentral:rRNA from 1 species
GAGUUUGAUCCUGGCUCAGAUUGAACGCUGGCGGCAUGCCUUACACAUGCAAGUCGAACGGCAGCACGGGGGCAACCCUGGUGGCGAGUGGCGAACGGGUGAGUAACAUAUCGGAACGUGCCCUGGAGUGGGGGAUAACUAGUCGAAAGAUUAGCUAAUACCGCAUACGAUCUACGGAUGAAAGUGGGGGAUCGCAAGACCUCAUGCUCGUGGAGCGGCCGAUAUCUGAUUAGCUAGUUGGUGGGGUAAAGGCCUACCAAGGCAUCGAUCAGUAGCUGGUCUGAGAGGACGACCAGCCACACUGGGACUGAGACACGGCCCAGACUCCUACGGGAGGCAGCAGUGGGGAAUUUUGGACAAUGGGGGCAACCCUGAUCCAGCAAUGCCGCGUGAGUGAAGAAGGCCUUCGGGUUGUAAAGCUCUUUUGUCAGGGAAGAAACGGCGGGGGCUAAUAUCUCCUGCUAAUGACGGUACCUGAAGAAUAAGCACCGGCUAACUACGUGCCAGCAGCCGCGGUAAUACGUAGGGUGCAAGCGUUAAUCGGAAUUACUGGGCGUAAAGCGUGCGCAGGCGGUUGUGCAAGACCGAUGUGAAAUCCCCGGGCUUAACCUGGGAAUGGCAUUGGUGACUGCACGGCUAGAGUGUGUCAGAGGGGGGUAGAAUUCCCACGUGUAGCAGUGAAAUGCGUAGAGAUGUGGAGGAAUACCGAUGGCGAAGGCAGCCCCCUGGGAUAACACUGACGCUCAUGCACGAAAGCGUGGGGAGCAAACAGGAUUAGAUACCCUGGUAGUCCACGCCCUAAACGAUGUCAACUAGUUGUCGGGUCUUAAUUGACUUGGUAACGCAGCUAACGCGUGAAGUUGACCGCCUGGGGAGUACGGUCGCAAGAUUAAAACUCAAAGGAAUUGACGGGGACCCGCACAAGCGGUGGAUGAUGUGGAUUAAUUCGAUGCAACGCGAAAAACCUUACCUACCCUUGACAUGUACGGAAGCCCCGAGAGAUCGGGGCGUGCUCGAAAGAGAGCCGUAACACAGGUGCUGCAUGGCUGUCGUCAGCUCGUGUCGUGAGAUGUUGGGUUAAGUCCCGCAACGAGCGCAACCCUUGUCAUUAGUUGCUACGAAAGGGCACUCUAAUGAGACUGCCGGUGACAAACCGGAGGAAGGUGGGGAUGACGUCAAGUCCUCAUGGCCCUUAUGGGUAGGGCUUCACACGUCAUACAAUGGUACAUACAGAGGGCCGCCAACCCGCGAGGGGGAGCUAAUCCCAGAAAGUGUAUCGUAGUCCGGAUUGCAGUCUGCAACUCGACUGCAUGAAGUUGGAAUCGCUAGUAAUCGCGGAUCAGCAUGUCGCGGUGAAUACGUUCCCGGGUCUUGUACACACCGCCCGUCACACCAUGGGAGCGGGUUUUACCAGAAGUAGGUAGCUUAACCGCAAGGAGGGCGCUUACCACGGUAGGAUUCGUGACUGGGGUGAAGUCGUAACAAGGUAACC